GAAGAUUAGUAUUUGUUGUUAAAUUACUAAAGCACAAAAUAUCAACAUUUCACCAAAAUUUUACUAAGCCACGUUUAGAGUGAAAGUGUGGGAAAAUUUCUGAUUUUUGGAUUACAAAACAAAAGGGAAGAAGAGAAAAAGAUUCCAUGGUCAACUACUCCAUUAUUUUUGCCUUCUUCCUCACUCAUCCAUGGCACUUGGCAAGCAUGCCAAGACCCUCCACUCUUUUCCUCUGUCAAAUAUUUUGUCACCAAUCCAUCUUCUUAGCUUCCUCAAGUCAAAAAUCAAAAUAUUUACUUCAAUUUUCUCCCUCCCAACCACUGGUUUUUUGUUCUUAAUUUCACUAUAAAUAGCCAUGAAAAUCUCUCACCAAGAACACCAUCAACAACAACUCUCAUCCUCUCACCUCUCACCUCACCACCACCUACGAACCACCUUGCAAGUACCACAAACUUCAUUCACAAUUUGCCAGAAAACGUGACCCAAAGAAACCCAAAAGAAAACCCCAAUUUUUCCCUCUCUCUCCUCUGUUUCGGACCUCCCACAACACACCACUGUCGGCCACCUCGCGUGACACCUGCGCCGCGCUUUGUCACCCCCUGCCUCGGCAGUCGCUUGCCGGAGCUCCGCCAGCCACCAACACCCUCGCAUUCUCUCCCUUCCUCACACUCCCUUCUCUCGUCGUUCCUCUUCGUCGCGAUGCACCCAGCUAUACGCGCCAGCCAUGCCACCACAAACGACCUUCGCCACCGCGUCUCACUGCUUGUCGCUGCCGAUCGCCGCCUACCGUCACUUGCUGUUCGCCGGAGCUCGCGCCCCUCCUGCCGCGAUUUUCUUCCCCCUGCUCUUAGUAGCAGAGGUACCGAUGGUGAUAGCAGGAUGGCGUAGCAGUGAGGAUAUAUUUAAUAUCUAGUCUUAUGUAGUAGACUCUCAUGGUUUUUAAUUUAAGUUAAUAUCAGACUCUGAUUAGUAACUAAGUUCCUAUUAAUCAA